rnacentral:rRNA from 1 species
ACGCUGGCGGCGUGCUUAACACAUGCAAGUCGAACGAGAAAGCACCUUCGGGUGUGAGUACAGUGGCGAACGGGUGAGUAACACGUGGGCAACCUGCCCCGGAGACUGGGAUAACGUCCCGAAAGGGACGCUAAUACCGGAUGACGCGCGAUCUGCCAAGUAGGUCGCGCCAACUGGUAGCUUCGGCUUCUGCUCUGGGAUGGGCCCGCGCCGGAUUAGCUUGUUGGUGGGGUAAUGGCUCACCAAGGCGACGAUCCGUAGCUGGUCUGGGAGGACGAUCAGCCACACUGGGACUGAGACACGGCCCAGACUCCUACGGGAGGCAGCAGUGGGGAAUCUUGCGCAAUGGGCGAAAGCCUGACGCAGCAACGCCGCGUGAGCGAAGACGGCCUUCGGGUUGUAAAGCUCUGUCAGGAGGGACGAAGCCACUCAGGUGAAUAGCCGAGAGGGUGACGGUACCUCCAGAGGAAGCCCCGGCUAACUACGUG